rnacentral:rRNA from 1 species
GCUCAACCGGGGAGGGUCAUUGGAAACUGGGGAACUUGAGUGCAGAAGAGGAGAGUGGAAUUCCACGUGUAGCGGUGAAAUGCGUAGAGAUGUGGAGGAACACCAGUGGCGAAGGCGACUCUCUGGUCUGUAACUGACGCUGAGGCGCGAAAGCGUGGGGAGCGAACAGGAUUAGAUACCCUGGUAGUCCACGCCGUAAACGAUGAGUGCUAAGUGUUAGAGGGUUUCCGCCCUUUAGUGCUGCAGCAAACGCAUUAAGCACUCCGCCUGGGGAGUACGGUCGCAAGACUGAAACUCAAAGGAAUUGACGGGGGCCCGCACAAGCGGUGGAGCAUGUGGUUUAAUUCGAAGCAACGCGAAGAACCUUACCAGGUCUUGACAUCCUCUGACAACCCUAGAGAUAGGGCUUCCCCUUCGGGGGCAGAGUGACAGGUGGUGCAUGGUUGUCGUCAGCUCGUGUCGUGAGAUGUUGGGUUAAGUCCCGCAACGAGCGCAACCCUUGAUCUUAGUUGCCAGCAUUCAGUUGGGCACUCUAGGGUGACUGCCGGUGACAAACCGGAGGAAGGUGGGGAUGACGUCAAAUCAUCAUGCCCCUUAUGACCUGGGCUACACACGUGCUACAAUGGACAGAACAAAG